UACGGGGGGGGCAAGCGUUGUUCGGAAUUACUGGGCGUAAAGGGCGCGUAGGCGGUCGUGACAAGUCACUUGUGAAAUCUCCGGGCUUAACUCGGAACGGUCAAGUGAUACUGUCGGACUAGAGUACAGAAGGGGCAACUGGAAUUCUCGGUGUAGCGGUGAAAUGCGUAGAUAUCGAGAGGAACACCUGCGGCGAAGGCGGGUUGCUGGGCUGAUACUGACGCUGAGGCGCGAAAGCCAGGGAGCGAACGGG
rnacentral:rRNA from 1 species